UGACCCAGGUUCGACUCGAACGAACAACCUUCCGAUCUGGAGUCGGAUGCUCUACCAUUAAGCUACAGGGUC
rnacentral:tRNA from 1 species